CUUCAGUUUAAGCCUAUAUUCCUUGGAAAGGUUCCCAGGGAAGUACCUAGUGCAGCUACUUCUCAGAAAUGCAUCCGAACAAAUGAUAUUGAGAAUGUGGGUCGAACAUCCCGACAUCAAACAUUCUUUGAGAUGCUUGGAAAUUUUAGUUUUGGAGAUUAUUUUAAGAAGGAAGCUAUUAAGUGGGCAUGGGAGCUCUCCACCUCUGAAUAUGGACUCCCAGCUGAUAGAUUAUGGAUUAGUGUUUACGAAGAUGAUGAUGAAACUUUUGCA
rnacentral:misc_RNA from 1 species